UGAAUCUCUCUGGGAAAAGUGGCCCUGAAUAGCAUUGUCUGUCUUACACCUGGUGGAGGCAUGUCCAUUUGUUGCACAAUUUUCCUUAUUGAGGUUCGAAACCCAUAUCAAGCAUUCGAUCUGCCUCAUCUAGAGCCAAGUACCUUAUCAUCUGUAACGAGACUCUAGCUCUCUCAAGUAAAUCAACUAACUGUCCAGGUGUUGCCACAAGAAUAUGCACUCCUCUCUAGCUCUCGAAGCUGUUAAGAUACAAUAAUAUCAUGGCUCAAAAACAUCUAUACGAGAACUGCUUUUAAAUGGUAAUAGACAUUUCAAUCUUCUUAUUCGAUGCAUAUGAAGUCUCACAUAGUGCAUGCAUGAAAGCGUACAACAAACAAUUUGUAUAUCCACUGAUAUUGUAAGGCACUCAAUAUUUAUCAGUAUUGUCCAUUACUAUGUUGCUCGGAUCCUCCAAAAUCCUGGGGGGUACCAUGCAAACAAGAGAUUAGAUAGAACCCGUUGGUUUAUAGGACCAUAAGCAACAACAACCCUGACACCACUGACAUCAUCAUUAUGAUGAUGAGCUUACAGUUACAAAAACAAAUAAGAGGUGCCACAUAGUAGUCCAACAAAUGAAAGAAGGAAGAAGAAAUAUAAAGAAAGAAAUUGGCUUAAAAGCACUUUUGAGGCUUACCGGACACCAGAAAUAAGCCGAAAAGUGUUUUUAAGCUUCCAAACACCUUCUGAGUCGCUUGAAAGUCUUGGGCAAAUGUCUUUCCCUCAUAUAACCCUGUAACAGGCAUUUGCAACACCAAAGUCUGCAGCAGAGAACAGAGCACUAACCUGAAUCUCUCUGGGAAAAGUGGCCCUGAAUAGCAUUGUCUGUCUUACACCUGGUGGAGGCAUGUCCAUUUGUUGCACAAUUUUCCUUAUUGAGGUUCGAAACCCAUAUCAAGCAUUCGAUCUGCCUCAUCUAGAGCCAAGUACCUUAUCAUCUGUAACGAGACUCUAGCUCUCUCAAGUAAAUCAACUAACUGUCCAGGUGUUGCCACAAGAAUAUGCACUCCUCUCUAGCUCUCGAAGCUGUUAAGAUACAAUAAUAUCAUGGCUCAAAAACAUCUAUACGAGAACUGCUUUUAAAUGGUAAUAGACAUUUCAAUCUUCUUAUUCGAUGCAUAUGAAGUCUCACAUAGUGCAUGCAUGAAAGCGUACAACAAACAAUUUGUAUAUCCACUGAUAUUGUAAGGCACUCAAUAUUUAUCAGUAUUGUCCAUUACUAUGUUGCUCGGAUCCUCCAAAAUCCUGUGGGGUACCAUGCAAACAAGAGAUUAGAUAGAACCCGU
rnacentral:lncRNA from 1 species